rnacentral:rRNA from 1 species
UACGGAGGGUGCGAGCGUUGUCCGGAAUCACUGGGCGUAAAGGGCGCGUAGGUGGCGUGAGAAGUCAACGGUGAAAGCUUGGGGCUCAACCCCGAGUCGGCCGUCGAUACUCUUAGGCUUGAGCACUGUAGAGGCAGGUGGAAUUCCGGGUGUAGCGGUGGAAUGCGUAGAGAUCCGGAAGAACACCGGUGGCGAAGGCGGCCUGCUGGGCAGUUGCUGACACUGAGGCGCGACAGCGUGGGGAGCAAACAGG